ensembl:snRNA U6 U6 spliceosomal RNA
UUGCUUCGGCAGCACAUAUACUAAAAUUGGAAUGAUACAGAGAAGAUUAGCAUGGCCCCUGCCCAAGGAUGACACAUAAAUUUGUGAAGCGUUCCAUAAAAUA